AUCCAGCUAAUGAAUCCCAAAUAAGGCGAAAUGCACAUCCUGGAU
rnacentral:hammerhead_ribozyme from 1 species